UGAAUACGAGACGCUAAGGCGUCGAAGUAGUGUAUGUCAUACUUCCAAGAAAAGCUUGCACUGUCAUAGAUAAAAAACGCCUGUACCAUAACCGACACAGGUGGGUAGGUAGAGUAUACUAAGGGGCGCGAGAUAACUCUCUCUAAGGAACUCGGCAAAAUAACUCCGUAACUUCGGGAGAAGGAGUGCCUUAUUCGUAAGGUUGCAAUAACAAGAUCCAAGCAACUGUUUAUCAAAAACACAGGUCUCCGCUAAGUCGUAAGACGAUGUAUGGGGGCUGACGCCUGCCCAGUGCCAGAAGGUUAAAGAAGUUGGUUAGCAAUUGCGAAGCUGAUAACUGAAGCCCUGGUGAACGGCGGCCGUAACAAUAACGGUCCUAAGGUAGCGAAAUUCCUUGUCGGGUAAGUUCCGACCCGCACGAAAGGCGUAAUGAUUUGGAUACUGUCUCGGAGAGGGGCUCGGUGAAAUAGACUUGUCUGUGAAGAUGCGGACUACCUGCACCAGGACAGAAAGACCCUAUGAAGCUUUACUGUAACUUGAAAUUGAAAUUGGACUUUAUUCGCUCAGUAUAGGUGGGAGGCGUUGAUUAUAAUCUUGUGGGAUUAUUGGAGCCAUCAGUGAGAUACCACUCUUGUAAUGUUAGAUUUCUAACUUUGAAUCAUUAUCUGGUCAAAGAACAGUUUCAGGCGGGCAGUUUGACUGGGGCGGUCGCCUCCUAAACGGUAACGGAGGCGUACAAAGGUUUCCUCUGAACGGUUAGAAAUCGUAUCUAGAGUGUAAAGGCAUAAGGAAGCUUGACUGUGAGACCUACAAGUCGAGCAGGGACGAAAGUCGGUCUUAGUGAUCUGACGGUACUGAGUGGAAAGGCCGUCACUCAACGGAUAAAAGUUACUCUAGGAUAACAGGCUGAUCUCCCCCAAGAGUUCACAUCGACGGGGAGGUUUGGCACCUCGAUGUCGGCUCAUCGCAUCCUGGGGCGGUAGUACGUCCCAAGGGUUGGGCUGUUCGCCCAUGAAAGCGGUACGCGAGCUGGGUUCAGAACGUCGUGAGACAGUUCGGUCCAUAUCCGGUGUAGGCGUUAGAAUAUUGAGAGGAGCCUUCUUUAGUACGAGAGGACCGAGAAGGACAUACCUCUGGUGUACCAGUUAUCGUGCCAACGGUAAACGCUGGGUAGCUAUGUAUGGAGUGGAUAACCGCUGAAAGCAUCUAAGUGGGAAGCCCACCUCAAGAUAAGUAUUCUCAUC
rnacentral:rRNA from 1 species